rnacentral:lncRNA from 1 species
GCACUGCGCAUGCGCCCCGCUGCUAGCACGGAAAUGUGUACGCAUGAGCAAAGCUCAUGAGGUCACUAGAAAUGGGAACUGGUUUCUCGCACAGGCCGUGCGGGCGGCGCCGUGGCUUAGUUGGUUAAAGCGCCUGUCUAGUAAACAGGAGAUCCUGGGUUCGAAUCCCAGCGGUGCCUGAGUGCUACCUUUUCUUCUUUUUUGCACGACCCUUUUUGUUUUGCGAGCCCUCUCACAGAACCGUUCCUCUGUCAGCGCGGAAGACAUUUUAGCGGAAGACGUUGUGUUCCCUGCUAGCCUUUGCCUCCUUGAGGUCGGCCAAAUCGCUGUCCCCUGAGUGCUUCCACAGGGGUGACAAGUCUCCACAGCCUCUUGGCUUCGCUGAGCAUUGCUCUUGGCUUCGCUGAGCACUGCAAAGCAUGCUGAUUUUUCCUCCCGGAAUCCGCGCAGUGGGUAGCAACAAUCUGCAUACUGAGAACAGCUUGGCGAGGCUGAGUAAAGUCCCAAAAUGGAGGUCUGUAGCAUCAAAUCCGAUCGUCAAUCUACAUCUACAGCAUGCAUAAAAAUCCAAAUGGCUAGGUGCUCCCGUGUGGGGCCCGAUUCUAAGGCCUGGGCUGUGGUUGCCAAGAGCACAGGCACAUGGGAACCCCUUGAGAGCAUUUGCGACCAGGGCUUUGGAAGGUGGGGGAGACUUUGAAGUUUUAAAGAAUGUUCCCCAGGGAUACACCUAAAUCCAAACAAAACACACAAUGAUAAACCCAGCGAGCUUUAGAAAAUGCAGGAGCCACGUGAGGCGGUGUUCCUAAUGCAGAUAUUUUGACUCACAAUUGAAGUUACAACCUUAUAAACCAUUUAAAACCAUCUUAAGGACUGGCGAGACGGCUCAGUGGAUAAAUGUCCUUGUUGCUAACCCUGGACGUCCUGAGUUCAAUUCCUGGGUCUAACAGGGUGGAAGAUGAGAACUGACCCUCGAAAACUGUCCUCCGGCCUGUGGGUCCACAUGUACGCCGCGGCUCACGUAUGAGCACAAAUGUGUUCACAACAAAUAGGUAAAUGUAAUAGAAAAAAAAAUGUCCUAAGCUGAAAAGGGACAAAGAACGUACUUUCAUUAACCCACACAGUGGAACACGCUUGGGCUUUUGGUUCGAUAAGGCAGCACAGGAUAUUGCACAGUGCGGUGGGGGGGAUAUGUCAGCGCCACCGCUCUCAGGCUUAUAUGAGAGGUUGUGGGGCUUCUUUCUAGCUGGGCAAAAGACCGAAAUUUAAGAAUACUGAUUUCGACUUGACCACUACGGUUAAGUUGACAAUUUGCUUGUCCGGGAGGCAAUUCUUUCUGCUUCUCCUACGGGUCUGGGUGUGUUGUUUGUUUGUUUGUUUGUUUUGAUCAGUUCCUGCCCUUUGCAACUUGGUUUUUUUUUUUUUUUUUUUUUUUUUUGGUUGACACUGCCAACGAAAAUGUGAGGGAUAGUCCCACACUUUACAAAGGCAUCAGGUCUAUUCAGCUGCAUCCAGUUACUGAAGGCUUUAUUGGAAAGCACUCUCGAGUCUUCUUGGGGCUAAGUUCUAGCUCCUCUCUAUCAGUCCUGGGGUUUGGAGUACUUGCCUGUUGGAUGCCUGUUUAUGGUGAAACGAAAUUCUCCUAGGAUCAUGUGAUCAGCGUGGUCCACACUGGUGGCGCUAUUUGGGAGGAGACUUCGGGAGGUGGGGCCUAGCAGAGGGCUGUAGGUCAGUGGGUCAGCUACCUUAUCCUGCUCUCACUCCCUCUCUCUCCUCCUCCCCAUCUCCCUCUCAACCAUGAACCGACAUGCCUGAAUUGUAUUCUUAAUCCUCUUUUUAAGUAAUUGCGGGUGCUUCUCUACAGUAGUAAAAAGCUAAGUGAGGACCAGUCGGAGACGUUGGUUGGCACUUGAGUCUGAGGGAGGCUCUGCUCUAAAGGAAAGCUUUUCUACCGUAACAGCUGCACAGGGACAGAGGACCUGGAAGUCAUCUGAUUGGCCGAACAUUCCUGCCACCCCACCCAACUCCCAGCAGUAAGCAAAGCCAGAAAUGAGAAUCACGCCCUUAUUAACCUACCUUGUCUCUGCUCCUUAAAAACCUACACAGGUCUUCCUGCCUCAGAGACUUUGAAUUUAGGGUGGUGGGGGCUCGGAAUGCUGUUUCCCGGGUAGUCUGUGGGGAAACCCAUCCCAUCAGAGAUCUUUCAGUCAGUGUGUCAUCUCUCUGGAAGAACUCCUGUUACCAUCUUUGGCUCAGCCUCUCCAAGGCCCCCAACGCAGCCUCUUGUUUGUCACCCACAACAGCACAUCACUAACCGUAAGAACUUUGUAAAAAGAUUUAACUUCUAGUGCCUUGAGUUUUAACUUUGCCAUGAUGAUAAUGGAAUGAUGCUCUGAAACUAUAAGCCACCCCAAUUAAAUGCCUUCCUUUAUAAGAGUUGCCUCUUUUCACAGCAAAGGAAACCCUAAUGAAGACAAAAUUUGGUACCAGGAGUGGGGUAUUGCUGUGCGAGGCCUGACGAUGCUUUUGUUUGGAGGAAUGUGGAUUUGGGAACUUUGGAUUAGGAAAGCAGUUGAACUUUUUAAGUGGGGCUUAAUGCACCAUCCUAGAAGGAGCAUGGAAGACAGGUGCGCUGAGAAUGAUUUGAAUUUGGGGGCCUGGCUCAAGAGGUUUCAGAGAAGAAUUUUAGUAUGUGGUCUAGAGACUGUUAUUAUGAUAUCUUGUCAAAGAAUAUAGCUGCCUUUUCUCCUUUUCUGAAAAGUCUGCCUGAGGCUAAACUGAAGAGUUUUGGUUAGUUAAGUUGGCAGAGGAAAUUUCAAAACAUCCUAGUCUUGACUCUGUCCUGUGGUUAUUACUGUUCACUCUUAUGAAGAUCUGUAAUGAAAAAGAGCAAGCUGAGCAAAGACAGCUACAAAAUGUGCAGUAUGUGGGGAAGAGAGGAACCAGGAAGUGGAACGAAGUGAAGUCCUACGCUUAAGGAGAUAAACAGAGUAAAGAAAAACCUGAUGUUAAAUGAAAUAAAGGCAAGGCCCCACCCAACUAUGCUUCCAACCUGCAAAAAGGAACUAAAGAGCUAGUUUCAGAACAGCCAAGUUUAGGCAGCAAAGGAAACCAUUGAAAACAGAAAGUUGGAGAAGAUGUAAUUGAAUGAAGGGGUUGGGGCAUGUUCCAGCCCCAGCAAGCAGCAGAACUUGCCAGCUUCAGCCACAUGGUUCUGGCUUUAGAAUCAAGGAUAGAAGAAGUGGUUAUAGAAUCUCUGUGACUAAGGAAAGCCUCUGAGGCCAGGCACAUGUCAGGGGUGGCCUGUCAUGGAGGCCCAGAGAGGCCACUGUGUGAAGCUGUAAAGAUGAAGCCUGGAUUGCCUUGGAGACCCCAAGAUAUUGGAGAUGCCAGAGUCAUGUGAUACCUGCCAAGGAGAGCUGCUAACAGGGUAUGGAACCAGCCUAAGAGAGAGACGCAUGUUGCAGUCAACAAAGCUGAAAGGAGUUGGGGAUCUGAAGACAUCAGACAUGGAGAUGCAGAUUUUGGAGUGUGCCCAGCUGGUUUUCAGUCUUGCUUUGGUCCAGUGUUUCCUCACAGUGCUCCCUCCUCCAUUUGGAAUAAUGAUGUGAAUCCUGUGCUGUUAUAUAUUGGAAGUAUGUGACUAUGGUUUAGAUUUUAUAGGGGAUUACAGUUAGAAGAUUGCAUGAGACUCAGAAGAAACUUUGAACUUUCACAGGGUUGAGACUGUUACAGACUAUGGGGACUUCUGCAGUUGGACUAAACACAUUUUGCAUUAUAAUAUGGAUACACACACAUGCACAGACACACACAUGCACAGACACACACAUACACAGACACACACACACAUAUAUAUAUAUGUACAUAUAUAUACAUAUGUAUAACCUAUAUAUCAGGAAGUGUAAUGUAGUAGUUUGAAUAAAACUGGCCCCCAUAGGCACAUAGUGACACUAUUAGGAGGUGUGGCCUUGUUGGAGGAAGCAUGUCUCAGUUUCUCCUUGCUGCCUGCUGAUCUGGAUGUUGAACUCUCAGCUCCUUCUCCAGCACCAUGUCUGCCUGUUCACUGAUCUGUUCCCCGCCAUGACGAUAUUGGACUAAACCCCUGAAACAGCAAGCCAGCCCCAAUGAAAUGUUCUCCUUUAUAAGAGUUGCCAUGGUUACAGUGUCUCUUCACAACAACAAAAUCCAAACUAAGAUAGUAAUUUUAAAAAGAUUUUAAAAGAUUUUAAAAAGAUUUUCAUGUUUGUGAGUGCCUGUAUUUUGUUAUCCAUGUGUAUGCAGUACCCAUGGAGGCCAGAAGAGGGGGCCAGUGUGGUGAAAAUGGAACCCUGAUCCUCUGCAGGAGCAGCAACUGCUUUUAACUACCGAACCAUCUUUCCAGCCCAUAGAAAACUUUGAGUCUCCUGUGCUAGAACACUUGAGAAUCGUUUAAAUUCAAAGACUUUUCUUUUCUUUUCUUUUUCUUUCUUUCUUUCUUUCUUUUUUUUUUUUUUUUUUUUUUUUUUUUUUUUUUUUUUUU